UACGGGGGGAACAAGCGUUGUUCGGAUUUACUGGGCGUAAAGGGCGCGUAGGCGGUCAGCACAAGUCAAUUGUGAAAUCUCCGAGCUUAACUCGGAAAGGUCAACUGAAACUGUGCGACUAGAGUGCGGAAGGGGCAACUGGAAUUCUUGGUGUAGCGGUGAAAUGCGUAGAUAUCAAGAGGAACACCUGCGGCGAAGGCGGGUUGCUGGGCCGACACUGACGCUGAAGCGCGAAAGCCAGGGGAGCGAACGGG
rnacentral:rRNA from 1 species